GUCUUGGGAGGGUGUAUGUGUCGAGGAAUUUAUGCAUUUUUUCCAGAUUUUCUAGUUUAUUUGUGUAGAGGUGUUUAUAGUAUUCUCUGAUGAUAGUUUGUAUUUCUGUAGGAUCGGUGGUGAUAUCCCCUUUGUCAUUUUUUAUUGUGUCUAUUUUAUUCUUCUCUCUUUUCUUCUUUAUUAGUCUUGCUAGUGGUCUGGAUAAUAUAACUUUCAAUAAUGGAUAGAGCAACUAGGCACAGGGUCAACAAGAAAACAAGACUUGAACAACACUGUAAACCAUCUAAACCUAAAAGACAUCUAUUAAGCAUUCCACUUAAUAAAGGAAUAGACAUUUUUCUGAAGCAUACAUGGAACAUUUUUUAGGAUAGACCAUAUGAAAGACUGUAAGACAAGUCUGAAAGGUAAAAGGUUGAAUCAUACAAAGUAUGUUUUCCAAGCAUGGUAGAAUAAAAUUAGAAUUCAAUAGUGAAGCUUAGAAAUUCACAAUUAUGUGGAAAUUAAACAAUAUACUCGAAUAACAAAUGGGUCAAAGAAGAACUCUCAGUGGAAAUUAGAAAACAUCUUGAGAAGAAUUAAAACAACAUUGCAAAACAUGAGAUGUAGCCAAAGCAGUGCACAGUGGGAAAUCUAUGCUAAGGAAAAAAGUCUCAAAUCAACCUGACUUUCCACCUUAAGAAACUAGAAAAAGAAGAUCAAUCUAAACACAAAACAAGCCAAAGUAAGGAAACAAUAAAGAUUUGAACAGUAAUUAAAUAGAGAAUGGAAAAACAAUAGAGAAAAUGAAACCAAAAGUUGAUCAUUUUUUUAAAAAUCAAUGCUAUGGUUUGACUGUGGUCCUCAAAUUCAUAUGUCGAUUGGAGGUGAGGCCUUUGGAAAGUAAUCUCUUGCCAUGUUAUGAAGCAACAAGAAGACCCUCAUCAGAUGCCAGUGUAAUGCUCUUAAACUUCCCAGCCUCCACACCUAUAAGACAUAAAUUUCUUUUCUUAUAAAUUACCCAUUCUGUGGUAUUUUGUGUAGUAACAGAAAAUGGACUAAGGUAAUCAACAAAUUGACAAAACUUUAGACUGAUCAACAAAAAGAAAAGACUCAAAUUACUUGAAUCAAAAAUGAAAGAAGAGACAUUCCUACUGACCUUACAGGAACAUAAAGGAUCAUAAGGAAAUAUUAUGAACAAGUGAAUCCAACAGGUUAAAUAACCUAGAUGAAAUGAACAAAUUCCUAGAAAGACGCUACUGAAACUAAGUCAAAAAGAAAUACAAAGUCUAAAUAGAAUUACAAUAAGUAAAGAGAUUUAAUUACUAAUUAUAAGCAAACUUCCCUUAAUCCUUUUGUAGUUCAUGAGCGUGAUGAUUGGGUGUUCACACACAUAUGUGAGAUGUGACCCCUUGAACCUUGUUACCACGUGGGCACAUUACCCAUCUGAUAUGAAAAAAAAAGCAGCUUCCCAUAAAGAAAAUCUGUGGCUUCACUGGAGAAAAAGUUAGCACCUAUUCACAAACCCCUCUAAAAAAAGAAACAGGAAGUGCUCCCCAACUUGUUUUAUGAGGUCAAUAUUACCCUGAUACCAAAAGUAGACAAAAUCAUUGCAAAACAACUGCUGUCCAACAUCCCUUGAGUAUAGGCUCAAAAAAAAUGCUGGCAAACUGAAUCCAUCAGCAUAUGAAAAGGACUAUACAUCACGACCAAGCUGGAUUUAUUCAAGAAAUGCAAGGUUGAUCGAUGUAUGAGAAUUAAUCAAUGUGAUAUUACUUACCUCAACAGAUGCAGAAAAAUAAUUUCACAAAAUCCAGUACCCUUUCAUGAUUAAAAAAUAGAAAAAAAAAUUCAACAACUAGGGAUAGAAGACAAUUUCCUCAACCUGAUAAAAGACAUCUAUGUAAAACCCACAACUACUACCAUUCUUACUGGUGAAAGACUAUUUUCUCCUAAGUCAAGAACAAGACAAAGAUAUUCACUCCUGCUAGCCUUUAUUCAACAUUAUUUUGGAAGUUCUGCCCAGGGCAAUAAGGCAAGGAAAAGAAAAAAAGACAUGCAGAUGGGAAAAGGAAGUAAAAAUAUCUCUGUUUCAGAUGAUAUGAUCUUGUAUAUAGAAAAUCUUAAGGAAUGUACUAAAAAAACAAAAUAUUAUUAUUAGAAAAUGAAUAAACAAGCUUAGCAAGGUUGCAGAAUAUGACAGCAAUAUACAAAAAUCCAUUGUAUUCCCAGGUGGCUUCUUUGCAGAAAUUGACCAUUUUAUCCUAAAGUUCAUAUAGAAAUACAAGGGACUCAGAAAUAGACAAAACAAAUUUUUUAAAAGAACAAAGUUGGAGUAGUCACACUUCCUGAUUUCAAAACUUACUACAAAGACAUAAUAAUCAAGACAGUAUUGUGUAGGAAUUGAUAUAAACAAAUGGAUUAAUGGAACAGAAAUAAGAGUUUAGAAAUAAACCCUUAACAUUUAUGGUUGGUUGAUUUUUCUUCCAGCCUUACUGAGGUACAAUUGACAAAUAAAAAUUGUAUAUAUUUAAAAGUGGAUGUCGUGUCUUUUUUGCUUUUUCUUUUUUUUUUUUUUUUUUUUUUUUUUUUGAGACAGAGACUCACUCUCACCCAGACUGGAGUGCAGUAAUGCAAAUUCCUGCAGACUCAAAUUCCUGGGCUCAAGCAAUUCUCCUUCAGCCUCUGAAGUAGCUAGGACUACAGACGUGCAACACCAUGCCUGGCUAAUUUAUGUAUAUAUAUAUAUAUAUAUAUAUAUAUAUAGUAGAGAUGAGGUCUUGGUUCUUGCCGUGUUGCCCAGGCUGGUCCUGUACUCCUGGCCUCAAGCAAUCCUCUCCCUCAGCCUUCCAAAGCUCUGGGAUUACAGGCAUGAACCACCACAUCCAGCUGAUCAUGUUGUUUUGAUAUGUGCUGUGAAAUAAUUGCCACAAUCAAGCAAGCUAACAUAUCCAUCAUCUAACAUAGUUACCGUGUGUGUGUGUGUGUUAACACUUAAGAUUUACUCUCAACAAAUUUCAAAUAUUCAAUAUAGUAUUACUAACUGUAGUUAUUAUGUUGUACAUUUGAUCUCGACAACUUAUUCAUCCUGUGUAACAGAAACUUUGUACCGUUUGAAUGAGCAGUUAAUCUUUGAAAAGAGUGCCAAGACAAUUCAAUGGGGGAAAGGAUAUUUGGAACAACUGAAUAUCCAUACACAAAAAAAUGAAGUUGCACUCAGAAUCGAUCAUAGUCCUAAACGUAAGAGAUGAAAUUAUAAAACUCUUAGAAGAGGCUGAGCACGGUGGCUCAUGCCUGUAAUCCCAGCACUUUGGGAGGCCGAGGCAGGCGGAUCACGAGGC
rnacentral:lncRNA from 10 species